UAAAAGGGAAGGAGACUUUUU
rnacentral:piRNA from 1 species